ACGAACGCUGGCGGCGUGCUUAACACAUGCAAGUCGAGCGGAAAGGCCCUUCGGGGUACUCGAGCGGCGAACGGGUGAGUAACACGUGAGUAACCUGCCCUAGACUUUGGGAUAACCCUCGGAAGCGGGGGCUAAUACCGGAUACUCCUUGACUGUCGCAUGAUGGUCUCGGGAAAGUUUUUCGGUCUGGGAUGGACUCGCGGCCUAUCAGCUUGUUGGUGGGGUAAUGGCCUACCAAGGCGAGGACGGGUAGCCGGCCUGAGAGGGCGACCGGCCACACUGGGACUGAGACACGGCCCAGACUCCUACGGGAGGCAGCAGUGGGGAAUAUUGCACAAUGGGCGGAAGCCUGAUGCAGCGACGCCGCGUGAGGGAUGACGGCCUUCGGGUUGUAAACCUCUUUCAGCAGGGACGAAGCGAGAGUGACGGUACCUGCAGAAGAAGCGCCGGCCAACUACGU
rnacentral:rRNA from 1 species